CCUACGGUGUGCAGCAGUGGGGAAUAUUGCACAAUGGGGGAAACCCUGAUGCAGCGACGCCGCGUGAGUGAGGAAGUAUUUCGGUAUGUAAAGCUCUAUCAGCAGGGAAGAAAAUGACGGUACCUGACUAAGAAGCCUCGGCUAACUACGUGCCAGCAGCCGCGGUCAUACGUAGGGGGCAAGCGUUAUCCGGAUUUACUGGGUGUAAAGGGAGCGUAGACGGAAUAGCAAGUCUGAUGUGAAAACCCGGGGCUCAACUCCGGGAGGGCAUUGGACACUGUUGAGCUAGAGUGUCGGAGAGGCAAGCGGAAUUCCUAGUGUAGCGGUGAAAUGCGUAGAUAUUAGGAGGAACACCAGUGGCGAAGGCGGCUUACUGGACUGUAACUGACGUUGAGGCUCGAAAGCGUGGGGAGCAAACAGGAUUAGAGACCCUAGUAGUC
rnacentral:rRNA from 1 species